CCUACGGGUGGCAGCAGUGGGGAAUAUUGCACAAUGGGGGAAACCCUGAUGCAGCAACGCCGCGUGAGUGAAGAAGUAUUUCGGUAUGUAAAGCCCUAUCAGCAGGGAAGAAGAUGACGGUACCUGUGUCAGAAGCCCCGGGUAACUACGUGCCAGCAGCCGCGGUAAAACGUCGGGAGGACGCGUUAUCCGGAUUUAUUGGGGGUAAAGGGGGCGUAGACGGUGAGGCAAGUCUGAUGUGAAAGCUCGGGGCUCAACCCCGGGACUGCUUUGGAAACUGCCUGACUGGAGUGCUGGAGAGGCAUGCGGAAUUCGUGGUGUAGCGGUGAAAUGCGUAGAUAUUAGGAAGAACACCGGUGGCGAAGGCAGCUUGCUGGAGAGUAACUGACGUUGAGGCUCGAAAGCGUGGGGAGCGAACAGGAUUAGAUACCCCGGUAGUC
rnacentral:rRNA from 1 species